rnacentral:rRNA from 1 species
CCUACGGGAGGCAGCAGUGAGGAAUAUUGGUCAAUGGGCGUAAGCCUGAACCAGCCAAGUCGCGUGAGGGAUGAAGGUUCUAUGGAUCGUAAACCUCUUUUAUAAGGGAAUAAAGUGUGGGACGUGUCCUGUUUUGUAUGUACCUUAUGAAUAAGGAUCGGCUAACUCCGUGCCAGCAGCCGCGGUAAUACGGAGGAUCCGAGCGUUAUCCGGAUUUAUUGGGUUUAAAGGGUGCGUAGGCGGCCUUUUAAGUCAGCGGUGAAAUCCUGUGGCUCAACCACAGAAUUGCCGUUGAAACUGGGGGGCUUGAGUAUGUUUGAGGCAGGCGGAAUGUGUGGUGUAGCGGUGAAAUGCUUAGAUAUCACGCAGAACCCCGAUUGCGAAGGCAGCCUGCCAAGCCAUGACUGACGCUGAUGCACGAAAGCGUGGGGAUCAAACAGGAUUAGAUACCCCAGUAGUC